GCCUGAGUGGCUCAGUCAGUUAGGCAUCUGACUUCAGCUCAGGUCAUGAUCUCAUGGGUCAUGAGUUCGAGCCUCAUGUCAGGCU
rnacentral:tRNA from 1 species